UAGAGUUUUGGACCUGGCUCAGAUUGAACGCUGGCGGCAGGCCUAACACAUGCAAGUCGAGCGGUAGAGAGAAGCUUGCUUCUCUUGAGAGCGGCGGACGGGUGAGUAAUGCCUAGGAAUCUGCCUGGUAGUGGGGGAUAACGUUCGGAAACGGACGCUAAUACCGCAUACGUCCUACGGGAGAAAGCAGGGGACCUUCGGGCCUUGCGCUAUCAGAUGAGCCUAGGUCGGAUUAGCUAGUUGGUGAGGUAAUGGCUCACCAAGGCGACGAUCCGUAACUGGUCUGAGAGGAUGAUCAGUCACACUGGAACUGAGACACGGUCCAGACUCCUACGGGAGGCAGCAGUGGGGAAUAUUGGACAAUGGGCGAAAGCCUGAUCCAGCCAUGCCGCGUGUGUGAAGAAGGUCUUCGGAUUGUAAAGCACUUUAAGUUGGGAGGAAGGGUUGUAGAUUAAUACUCUGCAAUUUUGACGUUACCGACAGAAUAAGCACCGGCUAACUCUGUGCCAGCAGCCGCGGUAAUACAGAGGGUGCAAGCGUUAAUCGGAAUUACUGGGCGUAAAGCGCGCGUAGGUGGUUUGUUAAGUUGGAUGUGAAAUCCCCGGGCUCAACCUGGGAACUGCAUUCAAAACUGACUGACUAGAGUAUGGUAGAGGGUGGUGGAAUUUCCUGUGUAGCGGUGAAAUGCGUAGAUAUAGGAAGGAACACCAGUGGCGAAGGCGACCACCUGGACUAAUACUGACACUGAGGUGCGAAAGCGUGGGGAGCACACAGGAUUAGAUACCCUGGUAGUCCACGCCGUAAACGAUGUCAACUAGCCGUUGGAAGCCUUGAGCUUUUAGUGGCGCAGCUAACGCAUUAAGUUGACCGCCUGGGGAGUACGGCCGCAAGGUAAAACUCAAAUGAAUUGACGGGGCCCGCACAGCGGUGAGCAUGUGGUUUAUUCGAGCACGCGAGACCUUACAGGCCUGACAUCCAAUGACUUCAGAGAUGAUGUGCCUUCGGCACAUGAACAGUGCUGCAUGACUGUCGUCAGCUCGUGUCAUGAGAUGAUGGUAAGUCCCGUACGACGCACCUUGUCUUAGUACAGCCAGUCAUGCUGGACUCUAGGAGACUGCGGUGACAAUCGAGGAGGUGGGAUGACGUAAGUAUCUCGCCCUUAC
rnacentral:rRNA from 1 species